UUCAAUUUCCUUUCUCCCUAAAUGAUUUUACCCAGAGAUCGAAAAAUCAAGAACACUGGUUGGUUUUCAGAUUCUGGUGCUAGCAUCGUUGCACGUCGUCGUCUACCGUCGUCGGUUACCAGAAAUUACCCAGGUAAUUAUCUUUCCAGAUUCGUCUUCUCCUCUGUUUCUUUAUUUUCUUUCUCUCUGAAAUUCCUAUUUCUUUGCUCUCCAGAAGCGUAAGAAUUCCUAGACCCACAACUCAGGUUUCUGGAUUCCCACUGGCCUCAAUCAAUGCUGUUGCCGUGCGCCGUCAUCGGCAACGUGGGUCACGACCACCACUACCUUCUGUUGCUGCUCAAGAUUAGAAUGAAGCCACUGGAAAUCGCUUGUUGGCCUCUCUGUUUUUCACCGCCAGAAAAAAUCCUCCUCUCACCCUUUUUCUGGUGUUUGUCUCCUCUUUUUGGUUUCAAACAGCCCCUCCUUCUUAGGUUGAAUGUGGGAUUUUUCGAUUAUGUUUCUAUUUGCCGGGAUUUGGUUGAAGCUGGGUUUUUUCGGUUUUGCUACUUCUGGGCUUUUUAUUGGCGAGUAUAUAUGCUCUGUGAGUGCUGGGUUGUGAAUCGCGGCUGUUGAUUUUGGGUAUUUGAUGGGAUGAGGAAGCUGGGUGAAUGUGGGUUUCUGUGGCUGGGUAAAUAUGAGUUUGAUGGCUAGGUUGUAAUGCAGUGGUGUUGUAUGAUUGCUGAAGAUCAGGGACGGCUUUGUUGAUGAGAGUUAAUCCCGACUAAUGGUGCUGGUAAUGGCAAGGUGGUGAUGAAAACAGGGUGGCAGCUUGUGCUGAUGAAAUUGCUGGAUAUGGGUUCGGGAGAGUUUCGGCUGAAUUGUUGGUGUUAAGUGUAUUGUGCGCUGAAUUUGAUUAAUAUUUGUGGAGUAUGGGCAGUUGGCUGGCUAAUGGUGGCAAUGGUAGUGUCAAUGGCUGUUGUGGAGAUGGUGGUUUCGAGACUAUAGGGAGAGCGUGAUGAAAUCGCUGCUGGAUAUGGCUGAGAACCAUUUCGCUUACUGCUCUCGCUUUUUCGAUAUUGUUCCCCCCUCUCUGUGAUCACUGGUUGUUUAUAUAGGGCUAGGUACCAGGCUAAACGAG
rnacentral:lncRNA from 1 species